GGCCAUGACUCAGUGGGAGAGCAUCUGCUAUGCAUGCAGAAGGCCCCAGAUUCAAUCCCCGGCAUCUCUU